GAUGAACGCUAGCGGCAGGCUUAAUACAUGCAAGUCGAGGGGUAACAGGGGUAGCAAUGCCUGCUGACGACCGGCAAACGGGUGCGGAACACGUACGCAACCUUCCCAAAACUGGUGAAUAGCCCUCCGAAAGGAGGAUUAAUACACCGUAACAUCAUGAAGUGGCAUCACUUUAUUAUUAUAACUCCGGUGGUUUUGGAUGGGCGUGCGACUGAUUAGGUAGUUGGCGGGGUAACGGCCCACCAAGCCUGCGAUCAGUAACCGGUGUGAGAGCACGACCAGUCACACGGGCACUGAGACACGGGCCCGACUCCUACGGGAGGCAGCAGUAAGGAAUAUUGGUCAAUGGACGAAAGUCUGAACCAGCCAUGCCGCGUGAAGGAUGAAGGUCCUCUGGAUUGUAAACUUCUUUUAUAGGGGACGAAAAAAGGGAAUUCUUUCUCACUUGACGGUACCCUAGGAAUAAGCACCGGCUAACUCCGUGCCAGCAGCCGCAGUAACAC
rnacentral:rRNA from 1 species